ACUUCCGGGCGCGCAAAUAUGACGAGAUCACUCUUGAGGUGAACACGACCGUAGACAUUCUUGAGAAAACACUUGAUGGCUGGUGGAAAGUACGGGCCAACGGAAGAGAGGGCCUGUUUCCAUCGACGUUCUUGAAGAAGAUGAGCAUAAAGCAGACAGCGAAGAGUAGCAAGGGCCACCCCGCAUCGAGCAUCACCGACACGGAAGGCGAGGCUACGUACGGCGUCUUAGUGAAUCCUCCGCCUAGACGGCAAGAGAUUGAGGACGUAGACAGUAUCUACAGCUCAAUUGAGUCCUUAAAAAGAGAAGCCAAAGGUCCAGCACCUUCACACAAGCCUGCACCGUAAGUGUGUGCGUGCCAGUGUGUAUGUGUGUGGUAUGUGCACAUAUGUGUUUGAGUGUUUCCAGCCCACUCCGACAACCUGCAAUUGCCUGGAUUUGCUCUCCAAUUGAAAAUUCCACUCUGUGUCCAUUUCUCAUCCAGUCU